rnacentral:rRNA from 1 species
UACGUAGGGUGCAAGCGUUGUCCGGAAUUAUUGGGCGUAAAGAGCUCGUAGGUGGUUUGUCGCGUUGUUCGUGAAAUCUCACGGCUUAACUGUGAGCGUGCGGGCGAUACGGGCAGACUGGAGUACUGCAGGGGAGACUGGAAUUCCUGGUGUAGCGGUGGAAUGCGCAGAUAUCAGGAGGAACACCGGUGGCGAAGGCGGGUCUCUGGGCCGAUACUGACGCUGAGGAGCGAAAGCGUGGGGAGCGAACAGG